rnacentral:rRNA from 1 species
UUGCCCAAUGGGCGACACCUGACGCAGCGACGCCGCGUGGSGGAUGACGGCCUUCGGGUUGUMMACCUCUUUCAVCAGGGACGAAGCGUAAGUAMMGGUACCUGCAGAAGAAGCACCGGCCAACUACRUGCCAGCAGCCGCVGUAAUACVUAGGGUGCAAGCMCUGUCCGGMMUUACCCGVCGUAAAGAGCUCGUAGGCGGUCUGUCGCGUCGGCUGUAAAAUCCCGAGGCUCAACCUCGGGUCUGCAGUCGAUACGGGCAAACUAVARUVUUGCAGGGGAGACUGGAAUUCCUGGUGUAGCGGUGAAAUGCGCAGAUAUCAGGAGGAACACCGGUGGCGAAGGCGGGUCUCUGGGCAACAACUGACGCUGAGGAGCGAAGMCGGGGAGCGAACAGGAUUAGAUACCCUGGUAGUCCACGCCGUAAACUUUGGGCGCUAGGUGUGGGGCUCAUUCCACGAGUUCCGUGCCUCAGCUAACGCAUUAAGCGCCCCGCCUGGGGAGUACGGCCGCAAGGUAAAAABUBAAAGGAAUUUACGGGGGCCCGKACAAGCGUCGGAGCAUGUUGCUUAAUUCGAUUCAACGCGAAGAACCUUACCUAGGCUUGACAUGCACGGAAAUCUKCBAGAGAUGGGGGGUCCKUAAGKKCCGUGUACAGGUGGUGCAUGGUUGUCGUCAGCUCGUGUCGUGAGAUGUUGGGUUAAGUCCCGCAACGAGBGCAACCBUCGUUCUAUGUUGCCAGCACGUGAUGGUGGGGAUUUAUAGGAGACUGCCGGGGUCAAGUCGGAGGAAGGUGGGGAUGACGUBAAAUCDUCAUGCSCCUUAUGUCUAGGGCKGCAGACAUGCKACAAUGGCCGGUACAAAGGGCUGCGAUACCGCGAGGUGGAGCGAAUSCGGGAAAGCCGGUGUCAGKUCGGAUUGGGGUCUGCAAGUCGACCCCAKGAAGUKGGAGUSGCU